rnacentral:other from 2 species
GUUCCACUGAGACGUUGGUGACUGCCAAUAAUGUUUUAUGAUCUAUGUCUUGUUGAAAAAGGGAACCUAAUAGUUUCUAGCAGCAGUAGACCGGCCAAGUAGCCGGAAACUUUAAGCUGGACAAUCGGUGCCCACCUGGAUUUUUCCAGGUCAAAAACUGAGGUAAGACGGCGUUUCGGUGAACCC